AAGGAAGAAUAACAGCUCCGGCAUUUCCCCCCUGCAGAAGCGCAUGCAGGUGGCGGCGGAGACAAUAGCGACCCCAGCGCCCCGGGCACGGCCGCCUCCACCAAACCGCCCGGCAGGAAACUGGACGUGAUGUGGAAUUAGAGCCUACCCAGCUGAAGCCACCCAACACUUACUACAAAUAUAGCCGUGAUGCGUAGGCCACAAAAUGGCUCCACUCACUUUUCCCAAUGAAAAGCAAAUGCGCGCUGCGGCCCGCGUGCGAGAGUCGGCGGCCGGGUAACAGGGACGAGCCGGCGCGGAGGCCCGGGGGGGCCCCGUCUCCCCCCCGCUGCGGCCGGGCGCGGGUGCCCUGCGCGGGCAGGGUGCGUGCGCGCUUGCACACGCGUGUGUCGGGGGUCGCGGCGCAGCCGUCGGGCCGGGCGCGGGGCGGAGGGGCUGCUCCAGCCGGCCGGGGCCUCCCCGCCCGUCUCCCCUGCACCCCGCUCGCCACUGAUCUUUAGCAACCCGGGCCCAAGAGAUCCACCCUCUCCUCUCUUCUCCCCCCCAC
rnacentral:lncRNA from 1 species